rnacentral:rRNA from 1 species
GAUGAACGCUGGCGGCGUGCCUAAUACAUGCAAGUCGAGCGAACAGAUGAGGAGCUUGCUCCUCUGACGUUAGCGGCGGACGGGUGAGUAACACGUGGAUAACCUACCUAUAAGACUGGGAUAACUUCGGGAAACCGGAGCUAAUACCGGAUAAUAUAUUGAACCGUAUGGUUCAAUAGUGAAAGACGGUUUUGCUGUCACUUAUAGAUGGAUCCGCGCCGCAUUAGCUAGUUGGUAAGGUAACGGCUUACCAAGGCAACGAUGCGUAGCCGACCUGAGAGGGUGAUCGGCCACACUGGAACUGAGACACGGUCCAGACUCCUACGGGAGGCAGCAGUAGGGAAUCUUCCGCAAUGGGCGAAAGCCUGACGGAGCAACGCCGCGUGAGUGAUGAAGGUCUUCGGAUCGUAAAACUCUGUUAUUAGGGAAGAACAAAUGUGUAAGUAACUAUGCACGUCUUGACGGUACCUAAUCAGAAAUCCACGGCUAACUACGUG